GCAGUUCUCGAAAGGUUUGUCACCAUAGAAACAGAAAUCUUGAAAAUUGAGAGAUCAAUUCAAGCUAAUGCCAAUGGUAGACAGGAGGAAGAUGCAAAUGGUCAUACAAAGAAGUCAACUGAUUUGACAAAGGCGAAGGGUGAACUCAAGACAAAAGAUGAGAUUAAACAGGAAGAGAACUCCAAGGUUCAACUUCAACGGCUACUGGAAACUCGAAAAGCCUUGCUCUGGAAAGAGCAAGCAAUGACUUAUUGACGCC